AUUCUGUAAAUGUCUGUGGUAUCUUAAUGAGGUUCAAUUUGAUUAUAAUCUCUUUUUUCUCUUUUCUGCCAGGUAUUUUAUUCUCCCUUGAAGGAACUGACGGGUGAUAAUACUGAUCAUGGCAUGGCACCUGGAAUGAAUGAAAUCAUGUCAGCCCUUCAUGACCUGCCAGAAAUUAUUCAAUUAAUGAGGGAGUGUGUCCGGGCAUUGAUGUCCUCGUUCGGGGGGACCCCUUCAUCUCCAAUGUCAUCUUCUCCUGUGGACAGUGCAAUUGAAAAGCACCACUUGGCAGGCAGCACAGUGACAGUUUCAAAGAGGGCCUUCGUGCGGCUGAAUAGAUCUUGC